CCUCCCACACGGCGCUCGGGCCCGGAGGCCGCCUGAUCUCCCGGGAUUCCCAAACUUUUUUCCCAUUUUUCUGUGAGGAAGCAGGGACCUACAAGCCAGACAUGCGUCUCCCUACAUAUUACCACGUGUUUAUUAGCUGCUCACCAGUGCCAGCGCCUCACCACCACCCUCACAGGAGAGAAUUUCUCCCUGAUGUCUACUCCAAAUACCUCCUUUAAUUUAAAGCCCUUACCCCGAGGCCUUCAUUCCAGCCCUGACCACUCAGGAGCUGAUGACAGCUGAUGAUGAUGGGUGCCUGAAGAUCCCUGCAAGACGUGAGCAUCUCUGGAAAUAGCAGUCUGAGCAUGGAAUGAACUCCAGAACCACAGGCUUGCAUGUGGCACAGAGCACUCCUUGGAGAAUCCUCUGGAGAACAAGGUUUCUGUGGUUUGCAGCAGUCUCCAAAACAAAUUCCAUUGUGAAUGUGACCACAACAUCCAUCCUCUCAACCUGUAACCUUUGGGAUUUUAUCCCCAUCCUGCAGUGUCUCCAUAGCUUUUCUCCCAACCUGCCCCACAGCAGCAUCUCUGAAUACCUGUGAGAGAGGAGAAAACAGCAGUGCAGGUGUUUCACUCCCAUCCCUAUCUACCAAAAUGGUGUGAGGGGCAGGCUUGAAUUGUAUGAAGCACCAAACCAACCCUGUGCAGUGAGGAAUGGUGAAGCUGUCACUCCUGAACAGCACUAGUGUGCCAUGAAUAACUCAGCUGGACUCACAGGGUGCUGGGAUAUGGGUUCAGAAGCAUCUAAAUCAAUUCAAGACUGCUUGUCCCUUAAAUAGAACCAACACUGGAGAAAUUGAACCAUCACAUGUAGAAAUUUUGUUACUUGGGAGGGGAACUUUGCUCCAAACCCUUUUGGUUUUACUCAUUCCACUUAGGAGGAAGAAACCAAAAGUAUUUUUAAUUUCCCUUUCCUCGGCUCCAGGACAGUUUUCCCUAUGCUGUAAGUUGUCAUACCCAGAAAAAUAAAAUCAUCUGCAGGUCUUCAUUUUAUCCCAAUGUAUAAAUUAUUCUUGGAAGGAUGGGAGUGGAGGUGACCACACACUCCUUUUGGGGAUCUCACAGCCAAUCAGUCACUCCCUUGUCCCCCUCUAAAAUGCAGAAUGGUGUUAUUACUGUGCUGUUAGGGCAAUAUUCACUUUGUGUGGAGUCAGAAAGUGCAGUGUGAUUGUUUCUGCCUCCAUAAACAUGGGGAUGUCACAGACAAGGGUUUCUUGGAUGUUUAGGCACAGCCAAACUCCCCUGCUGUGAUGCCAGCUUAGGACUGACUGUAGUUACCAGUGAGAUCCAAGCCCUUGGAGACACACAGAGAUUCAGACACAUUAAACUCUCUUCCAGCUGGAGGAACACCACUGUUGUUCAAUGCAUUUAAUAUUUAUAUAACAGCAGUAUCCAGAUGCCCCAGUUAGUGCAACAGUGAGGUAUUUAAUGUGCAGCUCUCUGCUGGGACUAUUUUGUUGUCUUAGCUACUCCUUUUUACAAAAUAAAGCUGCUCACUGGUCAGCCUCCUCAUUCCUCUCACACCAAAAAGCAGUGGGAGGAAAUUGCUUUCUCUGCCUGUCUGUUUUUUCCCCAUGAAUCUGCUUCUUUUCACAAUUUCCUGCAUCCUGAAAUAACACAGAGACAUCCCACCUCGUCCUUGAUGAGGGAUGGUAAAACUAGAGAAGGAUUUCACACAGGGUAAAGCCAAAUUCUUCUCAACCAGGUGUAUCAGCCCCACAUUCCUGCCAGUACCAGGAGGCCUCCAAGCUCUCUCCAUUCCCAAGUUCAAGUCAAAGGACACCUGGUCACCACCAUGAGGACUUGGAGGAGGAAUCUGUGCUAAAAACAGAUCACAGGAAUGAAUUCCUGCUGUUGCUGAAGCUUCCAUUUGUUACCUUCUCCUUCUUGUUCCUGUAUAAUUUGUGUGUCGUCCCCCCUCCAAAAAAAAGAGAGACUGCUGGUCUGCUUGUUAUAGAGCAGCUGAGAAAUAGAUGUAGAGAAGAAUAUUCUUGGGUGAUCAGAUGACCAUUAGUACAUAAAUGAUGUGUAGUGGCACAGAAAGCCCAUUCAAAGGAUGGGGUUUUAGUCAUGCCACUAAUGCAGAGCAGAGCAAACCACUCGGAGAAUUACAAAAUAAAACGAAAGCAACUCUGGCAAGAGGGACAAGCUACCCAGCACUCGCUGCAGGGGGCAACAGACACCUCUGCACCGAGGCACAGCCUGAGUUUAUUCUGCAUCGUCCUGGGCUUAGAGGACACAGCUGAGCCACACAAAAUAUCUGGCUGGUAUUCCCACUGAGGGAGGCCCAAAGCCAGGAGUCCCUGGCUUUGUGACACCCACCCCAAAUGCUGGGAAUCAGCCCAGGCACCAGCACGGGCUGGGGGCUGACGGGGGGAAAACAGCUCUGCACAGGACUUGGGAGUCCUGGUGGACUCAGGGUUAAACAAAUUUCAAUAUUUUCAUACUUGAACUAAAGUUUUCAUGUCCCUCUUGGUUUUAAUGGUCCUCUUUGUGGACCAGCCAGCAAAUCUGGGCAGAACACAGCAGCAGCAGAGGGAGAAAUGCCAAAGUUCAAGGGGCUGUUCAACAACCAGCAGGAGAGAGCUCAGCAGCCAGCAGAGCCAGACUCAGAAAAUGCAAACCUUACAGGAAUUAAACCAUGUUCUGGUGGAUCUUUACAAAAAGAAACUAACAUAUUUAAAACACAAGGGCUCAUUGCUAAGGCUGCUUCUAGAAGAGAAACAAAACGGUAUGAUAAUUUAGAAAAAGUGUUCAAGGCUAUCAAAAAAGAAAUAGUAAAAAUGAUUGCUUGAAGAUUAGACACACAAAAUACAGAGCUUCUUUUUGCACUUAACAAAAAAGGCGAGUAUUUUAUAUAUGCAGGCCAUACAGCAAUGAAACAUGUUUAAAACCACCACCAUCAAAAAAGAGACAUUGCCAAUAUAAUAGAGAAAAAAUGCUGCCAUCAGGAUGAUUUAAGCAUAAGGAAUCUAUCACCUUGUCCAACAAAAGAUACCUCUCUGCUACAAACCUUCUCCCAAUUUAUAGAGUCAGUACUUUAAUACUUUUUCCCCAGAAAUGAGCCUGAGUUUGACAAAUGGUGCUGCAGCCAUGGGAAAAGUCAUUGUGCAGAAAUUGCUGUCUUCAAGUGUCUGGUUUUAAUCAGGUGGGAAAUAAAAAUAAGGAAGAAGUCUACUUGGAACCUUCUGAGUCUCUGGAUGGGAAGCAUGGAUACACCUCCCAUGGAAACAACUGGAGUUCUAUCCAGCUGUAAAUACCAACAAAUCACCACACAGUCCACAUUCUUCUUUUCUGACAUUUUUAUUUAUCAAAGACAGGACAACUUCUGUAAUUAGAGUGAUGGGAGAGAUCCCAGGAUACUUUCAUAGCUACAGUAAGCUCAACCAAAAGGUACAUUGUGGAUUACAUUCAGGGAUUUGGAACAACACCCUUGUUGUGACUGGUGAACUGAUGUCACUGGCGUCACGAGCACAAGUGAGGGUCCUCAGGAAGAGGAUAUCCCAUUGGCAAUGGACACAACUCUGGCAGGGAUAUGCCAGCAGCUCCUGAAGAAGAAAAGGGAGGAUCUGGCACCCCAUCUGACUGAGAGGGUCCCCAGGUUCCAGAGAUGUCCCAAGGUCUGUCUCCACCAUAGAGCAGAGCAAUGUAAGUAUUUCAAAAUUUGACCUCUCACACCUACAGAUGGAGCAGGUAUUAUUCAUGCUAUAUAAAUACACAUCUACACUGUGCAUUGGCAUUUAUGAAAGAAAGUUCUGCAAGAUUUUACUACACUUAGGUGGAAGCUUGAAGGGUUAAGUUUACAUGUCGCUGUUUUCAACAAAACCCAAAAGCUAACUAGGUGGGGAAGUAACCUACAUGUGCCAUUUCAACUCCUUAGCAUUUUAUAAUUGGUUUUCAGUAUACCAAUAAAUACCCAGUGCAAAGCACAUGCUCACCUAAAGUCCUAAGCAUGGAUAAUGUAUGAGGAAAAUCCAAAAAGAAGCUAUCACAUGUCGUCUACAUGCUCACAGAAAUAUAUAUAUUUAAAAGAAAAAAAGAGAAGUGUUUCUCACUUAUAGUAAUAUUUUGGUUUUGGCUUAAGAAAUGCAGAUGCUUUCUCCCAAAAUAACAGCACUUGACAAGGUUAUAUCAUUGGCUUGUAGGGAAAAAAAAAGGUACAGUGAUGGGAACAAAGUGUUUACAUGACUUGAAACUGAAUAUUUCCAUAUUCAUCACAAAGACUGCAGGAAGGUACACUUAUGAUCCAACACUUCUUGUGUUGAGGGCAAAUCCACUGCUUGGUUUGUGACAAGGAGGAUCCAAAGCAAAACAAAUCAAAACCCACAGAAAUGCCAACCAAAAAUAAUGACAGUUUAUGCGACAGGAAAAAAAUGACGGUUUCCAGCAGAAAAGUGUGGAGAUUCUCAGUGCAUUUGAAGAGAAUUCUCCCAGGCUUCAGCCUGGGAAACUUAGAGAGGAAGAAUAAAAUCAAUUAUUAUCUCUCUUUCUGUUCAUGUUGUUUAUCGAUAUGUACCUUCAGAGUGUGCUAUUCAUAGUUCACCAAGAGUGUGAAAGGUUUCUACUUUGAGACCAAUCAGAUUUCACCUUAGCAAUCCUGGUUAUAAAAGCACGCUACCUCUUCAAUACAGGAUCCUUAAUAAAGGAUCUCUGUUUUUCUCCUUCUAAACCAUGGAGUCAUUUUGUCCAUCCCUGACUCAACAGCGUCAGAAAAGCUGUAGUGUUCCUUCUCCUUCACAUCACCCACUGGAGCUUGCCCAGGUUCUCCACAAGGUAACUUCACAAGAGAUGAUCUUCCCCAUGAGCAGGGGGACAGAUCAAAACACCCUCUAAGUGGUAACAACACACAUCUCCUUCCCAUGAAUGGAGGCAGGAUUUAACAGACAGAACCUUGGGAAACAACUGAAAAUUACACAGGAAUGUUUCUGCCUAUGGACAGGAGCUGAAAAUAUGCUAUAUAGAAAAUUGUUAAUGGUUUUGUGUAACUUCAUCUUGAAAAGACAUCUUACAAAUCAGGAUUAUUACAGGAGCAUCCAUAACAUGGCCAUUACAGAAGCAAUACUGAAGGCUGCUUUGUUAACCCCAGUAAUUGCACUCUCAUUGCACAGGUCGUGUUGGCAGCAAAAGAAUUCAAAAUUAUCCAGCAGGAAGGAAUCAGCAAUUUCAUUCACAUUGCACUGGGAUGACUUCCAGCAGGAGAAAGUUCUCAAUUUACCUAUGGAACAAAAAAGAUUAAACGGAUUAAGAGAAUGUUGACAGUAACACCAUUUUUGGUACGGAGAGAGAAGCAGUGCUUAGACUGCCACUGUUAAAGAAAAAAAAUGUGAGGAGAAGGCAAAGUUCAGUCUGUGACAGGCCCAUGGUGUAAACACAGAAACUGGAUGGAGGCCUUGCGGUCUCUGUUGCCAUAGCAUCAGGGGCAGUGGAGGGAGGCAGAAGCUGCAUGGUCUGGUUCUUUGACUCCACACUUAGAAAUGUUGCACAAAUCCAGCACAAACCUCCUACCAAGAAAUAUUCUGUGCAAAGAGUGGAAGGUCUGACCACAGUCCCACCCACAGCACUCUGCACAGCAGUGGCUAAUAAGAUAUAAAACAUCCCCCAAUUUCGUAGUAAACUCAAAACGAGAAUUUGACAUGAAAUUUCAGGGACAGAUCACUGGGCUUGGCCUCUCACCCUCCCCAGAAGAGACACUUUUUGUAAAGUCUUGUGUCUUGCAGUUCAUGGGCCAUUUGUGCCCUCAGCAUCAGCCCUACAGUUUUGUUUUUGCCACAGCCAUGCACUUCCUUUUUUAAGUUCAAGUGUUUAGAAGUUUCCAAAUUUGCUUUCACUAGCAAUUCAACAGUGUGUAUCCAAUUCACCCACUGGGAAAUACAGGGUGGAGCUUGAGUGAUACCUGGCAUCACCAGCCAGCUCAGCCUGCAUUCACAGAACCAUUUAGGCUGAACAAGACCUCUGACAUCAUCAAGCCCAAUCUUUAACCCAGCACUGCCAAGCCCUCCACUAAUCCAUGUCCCCAGGUGCCACAUCCACAUGGCCCUUAAAUCCCUCCAGGGAUGGGGACUCCAGCACUGCCCUGAGCAGCCUGGGCCAGCACUUGACAAAGCUCUCAGUGAAGAAUGUGCAGAAGACAGAACUGGAAGAGUAGAUAAGGGUGGUAAAACACUGGCACAGAUUGUCCAGAGGGGUGAUGGAUGUCUCAUCCCUGGAAAAACUCAAGGCCAGACUCUGAGCAACCUGAUCUAGUUAAAGAUGUCCAUCCUGAGACACAAAUCACUUCACUCUCAGGAAAAGAGAAUUUAUUUUAAUAGUGUCAAUUCAUAAAUGACUGAGCCAUUCAUCUGCAGCUUUAUUUUGUGAGCUACGCAUCCUUUAUCUGUUAUAAUAGAGUAACAACUUGUAUUUGAAAUUCAAUGCUGUCUUUAUUUUUUUACAGCUCCCUUGUGUAGGUUUUUGUUUGUUUCCUUAUUUUUUAAAUCUGAAUAAACAUGCUUGUACAGCUACAACUCACACAUCUAAAUCAUUAUGUUAUUGCUUGGAUAUAAGCAUGACCUUCAAGAUUAUGUGCAAGUUCCUUUCCAGUGAGGCUGAGAUAUGCAUGCUAGGGCCAGAUGAGAGGUGGCCAGGCAAUGAAAGCUGAUCCAAGUGGGUUUAUUUUAGGUCUGUGGGACACUGUACAUACCAAAUUUCAACUGCAAGCAAGUGUCUUCAGUCGUUAAGCAGGUGCUGUUGGUCCUGCACAGGGUAGGGCUGUUGUCACAGUGGUAACAUCUUAAGGUAUAACCUAAGACAACAAGGGUUUAUCUUCACUGAGUGAUAAACUAAUAAACUACUGAGACAGCAGCAGCAAUAAAAAGGAAAAGAAAAAAAGAAAAAGAAGAAUCACUUAUCUGCAUCUAAUUGUCACGAAACAUAUGCCUGGUUAUUAAGCUCAAGACUUCAGCUAAAAUUGUUAAACUCAAGACUUCAGUUAAAAUUGACAAGCUUAUGUCAGUGCACCAAUUGAGGCUGGCAAUUUUGAUAGGCAUAUCUUGAAGCAUGUAUUUAUGUCACUUUUAAAAACACCAUUAUCUGCCUACAGAACAAGAUAUUAGUUUGCUCCUUUUAUCUGCUCUUGAAGACUGCCUUUUCCAGGCAAUGACAGAUACUUGCAGCUGAGCUUUAUUCUAUCCAUUUUUUAAAUUCUAUCUCCUUUCCCUCUCAUACUACACAUGAGUUUCCAAUUCACACAAGAAGAAUCCCAUUUUCUAGCAGCAAAAUACCAGUUUUCUGUUGUGUUAAGCAGCACCACAUUCUCCCCCCAACUCUCUCUCCUGAGAACCUCCUGUUCUGAUUGUCUUGACCCAAGACAAUCAGAACAGAAACUGAACCCUGCUUGGAUGGUUACUGACAUUCCCCACAGUGGUAUUAAAUAAUCCAGGCCUUUCUCAUCUCGCUGUUUUUACUCCCUCUGGCAUUUUUCCACUAUUUUCUCAGCCUCUGCCAUAACAUUAAACCACAAAGUCCUUCUCUUCUACUCACCAGAGCCACAAAAAUUAAUCAGAACAAUGCAGGCACUCAGCAGGAUGCAGUUCAUCUUGGUCAUGCUUCUUCCCUAAUUUGAGUGCAUAAAGAGAUAUUACAAGUUUAUUUAUUUAAGAGCAAAGUUCCCAGUGAUGAACCAAGGUUUCAAGACUUGUUUCAGUAUAAAAUUGAAAGCACUGUCCAGGAAAAGCAGGGAAACAAAAGAGAGAAAAAUAACUGCACUUUUCAAGGGAGGAUUUUUAUUCUGAGAACAGGAUUUUUAUUCUCAGAACUGACAUUGGAGCCUGACAGACUCAGAUGGGUCUCCUCUCUCCUCUCUGAUUACACCAUUCAACAGGCCUCCCAAUUUCUCACAGCUACAAAUGCACCUAACAAAAAGAAAGGUCUCAAAUGCUUUUUCUCUUUCAGCAAUUCACCAGUAACCCUGGAGCCAGACUGCUCUCCUUUCUCCUCUCUCAUAGGGCUGCAAAAGGUUUGGCUGCUCUGCAGGAGCUUUUGCCCUCUUCUCUCCCAACAUUUCUCCCUCUCACUGAGGGACUGACACAGGCAGUAACUCACCAAGUGCCUGCAGCAGUGGCUCAGGUCUCCAUGGCUGCUGCAAUCCGUAGGCAGCAGUGAGAUGGGAAGGUCAGGAAUUUUUUAAACAUAGGCAGCUCUGAAGCAGGAGUUCUCAGACAGAUUUCUGCACACAGACUCUGCACUACAAUCACAGCUCCGACUGAAAAACCUCUGCUGCUGCACAGUGGGAUAUUCUGAGGAGGCACCAAGCAGACACAGCAGGGAGAAAGGGACCACACUCGUGCUAGGAGGACAUGAUUUAUGUUUGUCUUUAAAGCCCAAGUGGUAUUCAAAGUUCCAAAAUAUUAAAGGUAUUCCUAAAAGCUUUACAUCUGAUAAAACUGUAGUAAAACUGUCACUGCUCUUAAUUCUGCCUGCAGCUCUAAGAUUUUAGCAUGGCAGACCUUAACCAUCUUAGAUAGAGCUUUUUCCUCCCAGGACAGUGAUUGUGGACUUGACAAGAUAGGUUCACAGCAAAAGAGUAUUUAAAUGCAUCUCAACCUUAAGUCUAGUUAAUUUUUCUACUGACAAAACACCCCAAACCUCAUCAAACAAAAAAAAAAAAAAACAAAA